ACAGUGUCUCUGCAGAUAGUCCCAGGUGGUAUCAGUGGCAGUGGCCUCAGUGACAUAGCUCUAUCCCAUUUGUGACAUGUGUGUUCCUGGACAAGGUUCAACAUGUUUCAUAGCAUAGACAUACUUGCCUGCUUUCAAAGAAUCACAGAAUCUCAUAAUGGCUGAGGUUGGCAGGGACCUCUGGGUCCAUCUGGCCCAACCCCUGCUCCAGCACUCAGAGCAGGGGGCCCAGGGCCAUAUUUACGUGACAUUUGGAGAUCUCCAAGGAGAAGAUUCCACAGUCUCUGGGCAACCUGUGGAGGAGAUGGGAGAGCAAAUGGAGAGGUUUUGGUGUACUCAUAGGCACUGAGUGCCAAAGGAAGAAGAACAAGUUGUACUCCCCACGUAUAAAGGUCCUUUUUUACUUAAGGCCAUAUGAACGCACAUAGGCUGCGAAGAAAGAACAUCAGUAGUUAUUAAGGAAUGAAGCCCUUUCUUCCAGAAGGGGCUAAAUAACCGAUUUCCUCCAUGAAUGCUCUUUUCAGAAUUUCCAUGGAAGUUACAAUUAUUCAUUUAUGCCACAGAAAAGAGCUUCGCUUCUAAGGAACAGACAGUCUUAAACAAUGUCAAAUAAAAGCUGCUUUCACUGCCA